AUGAACGUCCUAGCAAAGAGUGGUCCCCAGGGCAUGUGGCAGGGAGGGCAGGACGGUGCCCGGGGCGCAGUGGUCCGGAGGGCCCCGCGGCCCCCAGGCCGGCAGCUGGCCCCGGAGCGCCCCGCCUGGCGCAGAACGGGCAGCCUGCGUGGUGCCGUGGCAGGGCCGCCCUCCCCAGGGGCCGCGUUUCGGUGGCAAAGGGAGUGUCGCCUCGCUGGCUCCAGCAGCUCCCCCGGCGAGCGGGGCAGAGAGCAGCUCCUGGCAGCGGCUUUCGUGAAUCUUCCGUUUCUCUGGGCUGGGGCCUGGGUGAGGAGGCAGGCCAGGGCCCACCCUGGCCCGGCCAACCCCCGCCCGCGGCCCCCUCCUCUCCACACUGCGCAGGACGGUGCGGAGCGCCCAGGGGCCGGGCGACGUGAGAGCCGUGUGGCCCCUGGGGCCGGACGCCUGUCCACACUUGCCACACCCCACAUGCCCUGCACCCCUUGAUCCCCGACCUGCGGUUCGCACUGUCCCGGCCUCACCAUCCCCCCGCCCCAUCUCUGGCUGAAGAGCUGGGCCUUGGGGUCCAGGGGGAGUACCCCUGAAAAUGGAUGGCAUCAGGAAGGAGUGAUUGGGUAUUAACCUCUGGGAGGAAGGGGGCAGAGCCGUUGACCAAGGCAGCCACCCCCCACCGGGAGCAGCCCAGGGGGCCCUGCCCCCCCCCCCCCCCCACUGAGGACCGGCAGGCCCAGGAUGUCCCCCAGCGCCUCUGCACCGAGGGCACACGGCAGCUCCCGGCAGGCUCGCUGGGGGCAGGCUCGGCGCCCUGGGAAGCAGCUGGCAGCUUCUGGAAGCUCGGGGCCGGGCUCUGGGCUCUGGGGAGUGAGGCCACUCCAAGUCCCAACACGGUGGGAAGCCUUGGAAGGUUCCGGGCAGUAUGACGUCAUCUAAUUCAUAACCUUUAAUUCACAGAGGGGCGGGGGGACCUGGGUGGCUCAGUAGGCGAAGCCUCUGACUCUCGAUCUCAGGGUGUGAGCUCAAGCCCCAUGUCGGGCUCCACACUGGGUGCGCAGCCUGCUUAAGG
rnacentral:lncRNA from 1 species